rnacentral:rRNA from 1 species
UGCCAGCAGCCGCGGUAAUACGGAGGGUGCAAGCAUUAAUCGGAUUUAUUGGGCGUAAAGAGCGCGUAGGUGGAUUGGCAAGUCAGACGUGAAAGCCCGGAGCUCAACUCCGGAAUUGCAUUUGAAACUGCCAAUCUUGAGGAUAGACGGAGAAGACGGAAUUCCACGUGUAGCGGUGAAAUGCGUAGAUAUGUGGAAGAACACCGGUGGCGAAGGCGGUCUUCUAGUUUAUUCCUGACACUGAGGCGCGAAAGCAAGGGGAGCGAACAGGAUUAGAUA